rnacentral:rRNA from 1 species
UGGGGAAUAUUGCACAAUGGGGGAAACCCUGAUGCAGCGACGCCGCGUGAAGGAAGAAGUAUUUCGGUAUGUAAACAUCUAUCAGCAGGGAAGAAAAUGACGGUACCUGACUAAGAAGCCCCGGCUAACUACGUGCCAGCAGCCGCGGUAAUACGUAGGGGGCAAGCGUUAUCCGGAUUUACUGGGUGUAAAGGGAGCGUAGACGGCGGUGCAAGUCUGAUGUGAAAACCCGGGGCUCAACCCCGGGCUGCAUUGGAAACUGCAUGGCUGGAGUGUCGGAGAGGCAGGCGGAAUUCCUAGUGUAGCGGUGAAAUGCGUAGAUAUUAGG